AGCGGCGGACGGGUGAGUAAUGCCUGGGAAAUUGCCCUGAUGUGGGGGAUAACCAUUGGAAACGAUGGCUAAUACCGCAUAAUAGCUUCGGCUCAAAGAGGGGGACCUUCGGGCCUCUCGCGUCAGGAUAUGCCCAGGUGGGAUUAGCUAGUUGGUGAGGUAAGGGCUCACCAAGGCGACGAUCCCUAGCUGGUCUGAGAGGAUGAUCAGCCACACUGGAACUGAGACACGGUCCAGACUCCUACGGGAGGCAGCAGUGGGGAAUAUUGCACAAUGGGCGCAAGCCUGAUGCAGCCAUGCCGCGUGUAUGAAGAAGGCCUUCGGGUUGUAAAGUACUUUCAGCAGUGAGGAAGGUAGUGUAGUUAAUAGCUGCAUUAUUUGACGUUAGCUGCAGAAGAAGCACCGGCUAACUCCGUGCCAGCAGCCGCGGUAAUACGGAGGGUGCGAGCGUUAAUCGGAAUUACUGGGCGUAAAGCGCAUGCAGGUGGUUUGUUAAGUCAGAUGUGAAAGCCCGGGGCUCAACCUCGGAAUUGCAUUUGAAACUGGCAGA
rnacentral:rRNA from 1 species